ensembl:lncRNA
GUGUCAGCAGACUGGGGCGUGAGCAGAGCUUGGUCAUUAGGCUUAGAUAUUAGCAGAGCUUGGUCAACUGGAUCAGCAGGCUUGAACGUGACCUCAGGGACGAGAGGCUUGGCUUGGACCUCAGAGACUGGAGGCUUGGCUUGGACUUGGAUUUCAGGGACUUGAGGCUUGACCUGGACCUCAGGGACUGGGGGCUUGACCUGGACCCCAGGGACUGGGGGCUUGACCUGGACCCCAGGGACUGGGGGCUUGACCUGGACCCCAGGGACUUGAGACUUGACCUGGAUUUCAGAGUUGAGCUCUGCAUGAAGUUGCCUGUAGUAGUAGGUAAACGGCAGGGCAGGUUCGCCUGCCAGACUUACCCCCCUAAGAAGUUGUUCUAGCUCGUCCUUCGCCUCCGGACUCCCGAAUCGCACAUGAAUUCCUCCACAAACUGUUCUACACCGUCCAGGUUCCUACAGUGCUUAUCCAGUUUGAGCUGCACCCAUUGACGGGCCGGUCCAAAGAACCGGGACCACAUGAAUCGGAGCCAUUGCUUCUCCUCUGGCUUAGGUCUAACAGGCUGGCGAGAUAGUAUUGACAGUCUAUCAGAAAAUAUUCAGGGGCACCGAAAAAUCCGUCAAAUGGAUCAGGAAGCUCCAUAAAUGUCCAUUGUGGGAAGUGGACGGAGUCCAUAGCGGGGACGGUUGGCGUCGACUUCCGGGUUCUGCGUCUCCUCCGUUCUCCUGCUGCAUCCAUGUUUUGGCGGAAGAUUCUGUCACGAAUCGUGACGGAGCAGAGAUAGGACGGAUGCAAGUGUUGGAUGAACAGUUGUUUAUUAGAAAGAGAGACAGGCAGACAAAUCCAAAACGUGAUCCAAAACGCAAUCCACAAACAUGCAAGAGGUCAGGCGAUUGGCAAACAGGCAUAAAAGCAGGUGCUCGCGCAUUCGCGCUUAGAGCACGCUGCUUCAAGGGGGAAUCGUGACAGAUUUCAGUGUCCUCAUCCCUUCUUUCCUCAAUCUUUGAAACUGAUAUGGGCAGAACACAUGGUCCAGGGGUGCAUCAUGGUGCAGGGGGCCUCCUAAUUUUGACCACAAGACGAUGCACAAAGAUGGUGUGAAUAACAUCUGGUCCCAGUCUAGUCUUGGCAUUUUUGGUCCUGACAAACUGGUCUGCUUCAAAAUGUGCCUGCAGAGUGACUUGAGUUUACUUCCCACACACAACUCCUUUUUGUCUACUCACAUACUGUAAUGGUUAAAUGCACAGUAUUAGGGAACACUUUCCACAUAGUUAAACAACACCUAAGAACAUGACACAAUGGCCUAAAGACUCUCUGCAAUGAGACAGCACCGUCACCAGGAGUCUCGGCUCCCUGGAUUUUGCAAGUCUUUUGCUGUUCCUUAUUAUUAAAUAAACCUCACAUUAAACUUUCC